rnacentral:tRNA from 1 species
AAGAAUUUAAGUUAAAAAAACUAUAAACCUUCAAAGUUUAAAUUAGCUACUCAGCUAAUUCUUA